GAUGAACGCUGGCGGCGUGCCUAAUACAUGCAAGUCAAGCGAACAGACGAGGAGCUUGCUCCUCUGACGUUAGCGGCGGACGGGUGAGUAACACGUGGAUAACCUACCUAUAAGACUGGGAUAACUUCGGGAAACCGGAGCUAAUACCGGAUAAUAUAUUGAACCGCAUGGUUCAAUAGUGAAAGACGGUUUUGCUGUCACUUAUAGAUGGAUCUGCGCCGCAUUAGCUAGUUGGUAAGGUAACGGCUUACCAAGGCGACGAUGCGUAGCCGACCCGAGAGGGUGAUCGGCCACACUGGAACUGAGACACGGUCCAGACUCCUACGGGAGGCAGCAGUAGGGAAUCUUCCGCAAUGGGCGAAAGCCUGACGGAGCAACGCCGCGUGAGUGAUGAAGGUCUUCGGAUCGUAAAACUCUGUUAUUAGGGAAGAACAAAUGUGUAAGUAACUAUGCACGUCUUGACGGUACCUAAUCAGAAAGCCACGGCUAACUACGUG
rnacentral:rRNA from 1 species